CGGCGGCGGACAGUGUUCUGUAAUGUGUCUCCCGUUGCCCGAGCUAAAGGUUUUCCUCGACGGAGUCUUUAGAAUACCGUGGUAGAGGUAGACGCGGUUACAAAUUGAUGUCUGUUGAGACAGUCUACCCCUGUAAAGUGUUUUUGGUUACUCAGGCCCGGAUGGAAAUUGGAGAUGGGGAUUACAAAAAUACAUCAAAUGUGGCUGUUAUUGAUUCCCUUUACCUUAACAUUUUUGCACCGGAAACGACCAAAAUUAAGUUCAACAGGAAUAUUAAUAAAAGGAAUAUGUAGUCGGGCUUGGUGACUCAUGCCUGUAAUCCCAGCACUUCAGGAGGCAGAGGUGGGCGGAUCACUUGAGGUCAGGAGUCCGAGACCAGCCUGGCCGACAUGGUGAAACCCCAUCUCCACUAAAAACACAAAAAUUAGCCGGGCAUGGUGGUGCCCGCUUGUAGUCCCAGCUACUCGGGAGGCUGAGGUGGAAGAAUCGCUUGAACCCGGGAGGCGGAGGUUGCAGUGAGCCGAGAUCGCGCCACUGCACUCCAGCCUGGGUGAUAGUGAGACUUUGUCUCAAACUAAAUAAUUAAAGAUAUGUGACCAAAGAUGACUUGCUGGUCAGGAGAUAAUGGGGAAGUAGGAGGGAAUGCUGUGGCUAGGCAGCCAGCCAGCCCAAGUCUUAGUUGCUUUGGUUGUAGAGCUGGAAUAAGAGUGCUGCUUUUACCCAAUCUUCCUUUUAGAGCAAGUUGGUGCUUCCUAUUCUCCCAUUCUAGUCUCUGAGUCUCCCCGCUAAAUUUUGGGGGCCCUGGAAAUUUCCCAAUUUGGCAAAAUGCAGAACUAUAUUGUUUUCUUAGGUCCUUCAGUUGGCAAGCUUUAAUUAAAAUGGGACAAGUGGCGAAGUAAAAGUGAAUCCCAAACAAAGAUUUUACGAAAGUGCCUCUCUGCCAGUCUUGACGGAGAGGUGAAAGCUGCAAGCUUUCUUACUCAGAUUUGAUGACCUUUUCACUUACCCAGACUUCCACCUCAGCAAUUUGGUUAAUUACCCCUCGACAAGCUGAAUCACCUUCCCCAAAUAAGUAUCAUUUACAAGAGCUUUUUAAUUAAAGUGGAUAUUGAACACAGGUAAAGGUUUCUAGAAAAUUAAAGGUUUCUGGUAAAACUUGAAGUGUUUCCCAGUUAACUAAUUGCAAAGUAGAUACAAAGAAUAAAGAUUUUGGCCCUUAAUCUGCAACCUUGAACUCUGCUUACUCAAAUUCAGAGUUUGAGAUGGAAUCUGGUGCCCUAAUGAGCUGACACUGUACCAAAGGGUCUUUAAUUUGUGCAACUCCAAACAAAAUCUGUUAUGCUUGAGUGCACCCAUGGGCACGUAUGUGUUUGAGAACACAGCUGUGUUUAAGAGAACAGUAUGGUACAAAACUAGAAUUGUACUGGUUGUUGCAAAAUUCUCAGUACUUGGUUUUGUUGUUGUUGUUUUUGUUGUUGUUGUUUUUGUUUGUUUUUGAGAUGGAGUCUUGCUCUGUUGCCCAGGCUGGAGUGCAGUGGCUCGAUCUCGGCUCACUGCAAGCUCCGCCUCCUGGGUUCACGCCAUUCUCCUACCUCAGCCUCCCGAGUAGCUGGGACUACAGGCACCCGCCGCCACCACGCCUGGCUAAUUUUUUGUAUUUUUAGUAGAGACGGGGUUUCACCAUGUUAGCCAGGAUGGUCUCAAGCUCCUGACCUCGUGAUCCGCCCGUCUCGGCCUCCCAAAGUGCUGGGAUUACAGGCGUGAGCCACCGCGCCUGGCCUUUUUUUUUUUUUUUUUGAGAUAGGGUCUUGCUCUGUUGCACAGGCUGGAAUGCAGUGGUGCAAUCAUAGCUCACUACAGCCUCAAACUCCUGGGCUGAAGUGAUCCUCCCAUUUUAGCCUCCUGAAUAACUAAGACUACAGACACAUGCCACCACAGUGAGCUACUUUUUUUUUUAAUUUGUUAUAGGAUCUUGCUAUAUUGUUGAGACUGGUCUUGAACUCCUGG
rnacentral:lncRNA from 1 species